rnacentral:tRNA from 1 species
GCCUGGGUGGCUCAGUAGGUUAAGCGUCCGACUUCAGCUCAGGUCAUGAUCUCAUGGUUCGUGGGUUCGAGCCCCGCAUCGGGCU